GGCGACAUGGCCGAGUGGUAAGGCAAGGGACUGCAAAUCCUUUUUUCCCCAGUUCAAAUCCGGGUGUCGCCU
rnacentral:tRNA from 1 species